rnacentral:rRNA from 1 species
UACGGAGGGUGCAAGCGUUUGUCCGGAUUUAUUGGGUUUAAAGGGUGCGUAGGCGGCCCUGUAAGUCAGUGGUGAAAUACUGCAGCUUAACUGUAGCAUUGCCAUUGAUACUGUAGGGCUUGAGUACAGAUGAGGUAGGCGGAAUUGAUGGUGUAGCGGUGAAAUGCAUAGAUACCAUUCAAGAACACCGAUUGCGAAGGCAGCUUACUAGCUGUAACUGACGCUGAGGCACGAAAGCGUGGGGAUCGAACAGG